rnacentral:tRNA from 1 species
CUGUAGCUGAGUGGUAAAGCGUCCGGCCGUUAACCGGAAGAUCGUAGGUUCGAUCCCUACCA